UAGUGACGCGCAUGAAUGGAUUAAC
rnacentral:ncRNA from 7 species